CAGAAGAGGAGGAGGAGGAGGAAGAGGGAAGCAGAAGGAGGAAUCCCACCAUUGGACCAGAGUGGCUGCAGUCAAGACAGAUCCAGAGGGAGGAGAGAGAGAGGGAAGAGAGAAGGUGACCCCCCUCCUCAUCUUCUGACCCAUGAAAGUAGCCAUGCCAGUCCUGACAGCUGGAGCAGGGCUCCAUGAAACACUGGCCCUGCUGACCUCUCAGCUGCGGCCAGAUGCCAAUCACACCGAGGACAUGGUGUUUCUGAAGGACGUGUUCAGUGAAAGGAGCUUGGGCUAUCUCAUGAAGAUCCACGAGAAGCUGCGGCAGUAUGAGAGACAAAGUCCAACCCCUGUUCUUCACAGUGCCUCUUCACUGGCUGAUGAUGUUGCCGAGGAGCUGCAGAGUGGACCAAUGAGCAGCGAAGAGAAGGAGCUGCUGAACCUGCUGACAUCCCCCCAUCUGAAGGCGGUUCUCUCUGUGCAUGACACUGUGGCUCAGAAGAACUUUGAUCCGGUUCUGCCUCCGCUCCCGGACGAUUUUGAGGAUGAGCUGGAUGAGGAGUCUGUUAAGAUCGUCCGGUUGGUGAAGAACAAGGAGCCUCUGGGCGCCACCAUCAGGCGAGAUGAGGCCAGUGGAGCUGUUAUUGUGGCGAGGAUCAUGAGAGGGGGUGCAGCCGACCGCAGUGGUUUGGUCCACGUUGGAGACGAACUGAGGGAAGUCAACGGCGUGUCUGUCAUUCACAAGAGGCCAGAUGAGAUCAGCCAGCUGCUGUCACAGUCUCAGGGCUCUAUCACUCUGAAGAUCAUUCCGGCUAUCAAAGAAGAGGACCGACUGAAAGACAGCAAGGUUUACAUGCGAGCCUUGUUUGAUUACAUCCCGUUGGAAGACAAGGCGACGCCCUGCCAAGAGGCUGGACUUCCUUUCAAAAGAGGGGACAUCCUGCAGGUGGUGACGCAAGACGACCCCACCUGGUGGCAGGCCAAGAGAGUGGGAGACAGCAACCUGAGGGCCGGACUCAUCCCUUCCAAGCUUUUCCAAGAAAGGCGACUGGCCUACCGGAUCAAAAUGGGAACGCUCCCGACUCCCCAGUCACCUAAAAAGCCUCCCUAUGAUCAAGGAUGCGACAAAGAGGACUGUGACUGUGAGGGCAAUAUCAAUGGACAGUACAUAGUCUCUCCUAAGUGUAAAGCAGUGGCGCCCUCCUGUGGCCAGGUGUUUUCCUGGGAAUUUUAUUCAGCUGGUCUGCGAAGGAGCUUCAGGUUGAGUCGUAAAGACCGACAAGGAUCCUCGGGCGAAGGCUCCGAUUCUGAAGACUCAGACUUCUUGACCUAUGAAGAGGUCACUCGCUACCAACAGAGGUCCAACGAGAGGCCUCGCUUGGUGGUUCUGAUUGGUUCUCUGGGAGCUCGGAUCAACGAACUCAAACAGAGAGUGAUUGCUGAAAACCCUCAUCGCUAUGCUGUUGCCGUACCACAUACCACCAGGCCAAAGAAACCUCACGAGAAGGAGGGAGUGGAGUAUCACUUUGUCACCAAGCAGCAGUUUGAUACCGACGUGCUGGACAACAAGUUCAUUGAACAUGGGGAGUACAAGGAGAACCAGUAUGGCACGAGUAUAGAGGCCAUCCGCUCAGUGCAGGCCAAGAACAAGAUGUGUAUCGUAGACGUGCAGCCAGAGGCCCUGAGGAGGCUACGGACAUCUGAAUUCAAGCCCUACAUCAUAUUUGUCAAACCCCGUGUUCCUGAGAGCAGACGGCGGCGCAGUGCUGCCACCUCACCAGGAGGGGGAGAACACAGCCGCGUGACAGACGACGACCUGCAGGAAAUGCGCCAGUCGGCCAUUCAGAUAGACCAACAGUACGGACACUUUGUAGACCGGGUCCUGAUCAAGGAGGACUCGGCCAGUGCCUGCACAGAACUCAAAGGUAUUUUGGAAAGACUAGAGCGGGAGUCCCUCUGGGUGCCUGUCAGUUGGGUGAGGACCUAGAGAGACUCUCACAGCCUGAACGCCGAACGCUGCACUGGUCGAACCGGAACGAGGCGAUGGCUCCACCUGCUGGACAGAUGGGUACUCAGACGAAUCACAUGGCUUCCUCCAACUGUUUACUCCCGUUUGCACACACCACUAUGUGUCAGGAUGGAAUCCCGCUCCAGGAUGGUUCACGUAUUCCUCUUCACUCCUGUCGGAGAACUUCUAGUAGCAUGACGUUCCAGUCCUUAUCACAGAAUGCUUCCUUAACUCCAUAGACAUCCAGCAGAAGGAGACCGAGAAUGCAGUUUUUCGACGACACUGUCAGUCAAAGUUUACACAUGAGAUGUAACAGGUUUAUUUUUUAUUGAAGACUUGUUUUCAGGAAACGCAUGACUGCUAGUUAUUUAACCUCAGAUGUAAAUAGCAACCACCUCACUCCUCACGUGCCAACGAACGAUCUCGUAGCACCACGAUGCAACCCGCCGACCCCGAGGCCGUGGCUUCUACCUGCUCCGUCCGAUUUUGUACAAUGUAUUUUUGUCAGCAGAAGAGACAAUGUUUACUCCUCCAGAAGUGGCACCUUCAUGCUGGGAGAACUUCAGGUCUUGGAAAAACAGGCUCAGGAGUCAUCUGGGAGACAGCGGAGUCAGCUCUGCCAGAGAAAGAGAUCAUCAUCAUCAUCUUCAUCAUCAUUAUUUCCAAGCUCUGAACAGGCCUGAUGUGAGCCUGGAUGAAUACGCACUGGUCACUGACCUGUGACUCCAGCAGCCGCAGUCUUCGAUCAUGAUCCCGGAUCUCUGUCAUCUGCCUCACCACACUGUCCACCCUGUGGAAUGAUACGCACAGUGUCAAAGGUGUUUUGGUUCCAUGGCAGCUCUUCCAUGUAUCGACAGAUCUGGCACAUUAGUGACCAUGGAGGAGUUGAGACGUACUUGACGGCGGUACUCCUGAUGCGGGCUGUGUCGCUCUCCCUCUGCUUCUUAUUCUGAGCCGUCAGCAGGUUUUCCUUCUGGAUGGCCUCCCACGUGUUCAGGCGACUGGCCUGUCUGCCGCGCAGCUCCAGAACUGCUCACCACAUCACACCCUUACUCUUCCCUUCAUCAAACCCAUCAAGGCGGUUCAGUUGGCCUCUUCCUAUUGUCAGGAUGCAUCCCUUUCCCCAGCCUCUCCCCCUCAACCUAACCAUUAAAAACACAUGCCUAACCUGAACCAGGACUCUGAACCAAACUGGAACCCAGUUAUAAUAAUUUGAAGUUUAAAAAAAAAAGAAUUGAGGCUUAAACUUGUUGGUGUUUCCAAUACUUGAUUUGAUUUACCAAAGUGUGUGCUUUUGACUGACGGGAUGAGACGGAUGUAACGCUUGACCAUGAGGUGCAGGUGUGAGAUGAUGAUGAAGGGCGGAGCAAGACAAGGCCGCGAGUGGUACUCCACAAUCAAGUUGUAGCGCUGGAACUUCCAGUAGGUGUCGCUGCGCUCCUGCACCUUGGAGAAGGUGUGGCUGCAGAUCAGAUCAGGGAUUAGACAGAGACAAAUGCCAAGCAUGUUCAGCUGGAGGAAGCCAGUACCUGAACAUGGCGAUGAGCAGGUUGACCAGGAGGAUGUUGGUGAUCAGCAGGUAGAUGACAAGCAGGAUGACUGACAGCCAGUUAGCGUAGUUGCUCAGACAAGGCUCGUGUCCCGCUUCGAUCAGCGUCACAUUGUCCGUGCAUGGAACCUCCAGCAGCUUAUCAACUGAGAAAGAGACCAGAAACAUGUUGGAAAACUUCUGUUCAAUUCAGCUGACGUUGGAGUUUAAAUUUGAUACUGCAGCAUCCCAAAAAAACCCAGCCGAAUGGGUACCAUCAGACCCAGAGAAUCUGAUUCUAAUAUCCACAGCUGGCAGGUCUGCGACACUGGUGAAACGCUGAGUGACUCACGGUCCAUUUCAUUGAUGGGGAUCUGUCCAAAGAUGUGCAGGUAGGGUCGGUAGAAGACCCGGCGGAAGAUCCAGUUGGGCCGCGGGUCAUAGUCGUAGAGAAUGGCCUGGUUGGCCACUCCGUACGCCAUGAGCCACACAGCCAGGAAGAAGAGGAAGAAGAAGACAUCCUUCAUCUGUGAAGAGCAGACAUCAAAGAGUCAACAUUGCAGAUGUGUCCUUGAGCAACCGACUGAACUGUGUUUGUGCAAAGAACUGCUUCACCUGGACACCGUCAUGGCUGAAGAACAGUCGAGCGUCGGCCGCAGUGGCCAUCUGCAGGCACGUAGCUCCACCCCACACUGGAGACUUCCUGAUCAGGAGCGUGAAGGAACGACGCUCACUGCUUUGGUAACACUCGCCAAACACAUCUGCACAGACACACAUCUGCAUUGAGCCUCGUGGUCCAUCACUUUGUGCACUGGAGUGUAAACUAUUCUUGAAGAGUUCUGGGGCUCCUCCAAGGCUUUAUUUGACUGGAGACAGUGGUGUCGUCUCACCGUUGGCUAUAUCUUCAAACCUCUGGGCCAGUUCCUUCAUGGCCAGCUUGUUCUCCGUCUCAAUCUCCAGCUUGGAAAGCUCCCUUAGGAUCUUGCAGCCGCCGAGAGCACUCAGAACCGCUUCCCCAGCCUGACAGAGAAACAGUGUGAAGCCUUGCCACAGAAGAAGACCCUCUGUUGGUGAGUGGACUCACCAUCUCCCAGAAGUAAACAGCCAUUUCGCUGCGGUUCUGCAGGACGGCCCAGAUGAAGAGAGCCGACCAGGGUGAGAGGCAGCGCUGGCUGCGGUACAAACACUCGGCAAGCAACAUCUUGUUGAUUUGCUGGGCCAAUGAAAAGAAGCAGUGAGACAUGAGGGAACAUUGCUGUUUGAGUCAAAGGUCAAGAAGGCUUGGCUUUUGCAAUCUCACUUAUCAAGACAUAAAAAAACAAAACCAAAAUGGAUCCUCUCACAGUCCGACUUUGGAAAACAAGGCAUGAGGACGGCCCGGAACCUUAGACUGACCUUCAUCCCCUUCCGAGUGCUGAGUUUGAUGCUGAGCCCAAGAGGCUUGUAGUAGAACGGCUCACAGACGUCGCCCAUCAAGUCCCACAGCAGCCUGGAAACCUGCAUCACCAAUGACACGUUGGAAUCUCCACGGACGUUGAAGGAUUCCCUUCCUCUGAUUCACCUCAUAAAGGCUGAGCUCCUUCGCAGAUGCUGGUCCCGUCAGUGGGUUCCACGGGCCUUUUGUCGGGGACCCUCCAUCCAGGUUGACCAAGGAUCCAGCCGAUGUCAGCCUCUCAUUGAGGCGCCUCUGCAGCAGCUCGUAAGCUAGAGAGCUGUCAGACAGUGACUGGUAGAGACUCUCCAGCCGGCCGUAGGUCAGAUAGUCCAGGAUAUUCAGACCGUUCUCACAGAACAAGCGCACAAACUGAGGCUUGUCGUUGAUCAAGGCGUCGGUCAUGGAUUCCUCCAGGUCCUCAUACUGAGGAUGGGAAACAUCAGCUUCAGAUGGGGUGAUUCACAUCCUGACUUGAGCUACUCUUCAGUCUCACCCUCCACUGAAUGUCUCCGUUGAAGAGCUCCGAUUUGGCGAUGUCAACUCUGUUCCAGGCCACGGCCAGUUUCAGCUCCUCGAUGUGCUCGCUUGCCUCGCUGGCGAUCUGUUUGCUUGCUAAACACAGACACAGUACAGUCGGGGACAAGCUAAUGUUCAACUUUCUUCCCUCAGGAGGAUCCAACAUUCACUGUUUUCCUUUACUUGUCAGCAGCUCCAGUGAAAACGAAUACAAAACUAGUGAAACAACAUUCACUCAGCGACAGAAAUGGUGAUGUCCUUGCAGUAGCUGGGCCUGGUCGUUGAGCGGCACCAAAGAUGGCGCUCCGUGGAUGUUCAUGUCAAAACAACGAUGUAAAAAGCUCGCAGAGAAGACGAUGUUUGGACUGACGAGGAAGUUGAGCUUUUAACUUACAAGCGUUGCAGCACUUCAGAUGACACCUCAGAUGCCAUCAAACAGAACUCUGGUCUUCCUCACACUACAGUAGUAUCUUCAGUCUCGGUGAGGUGGCAGGUGAGCGCACACACUUGGGACUCAUCAGCCAUCAAGCUGGCUCCACCUGGAUAAAGCCUCUGCGGCUUCAGAGCCGUGAGCCAGACCCUCCUUCCUCCUUCUGUUUGUUGCUGUGUUUUCAUGUUUCUCAAGCUUUUGGUGACAGAUUCCCGUUGCUUCUAUCCCUGCCUUUAUUCUUCUGUGUGCGUGUGUGACUAGUUUGCCCAGACUGUGUUAUCUUCUGUUUUAUUUUCCUUGUGUUCGACCAUGCAGUGGUCGAACACAUGGACUCCUCCGUGUGUUCGACCACUGCAUGUUUUCUGUUUUAUUCCUUUCACCUCCUUGAUCCUCCUGCUUGUCUCGGCUCUCCUCCCUGACUUGGUUCACGUGUUCGGUGGCGCCUGCCAUUCAUUUGUCUGUCUGUCUGUCUGUCUGUGUUGCUCAUGUGUUUGUGAUCAUUAAGCUGCUUCACUUUAACUCUGAGUCUCUCUGGGCCCCACAGAACCGAACACACACUUUAGUCCAGCGUCUUUCAAGCGGGCCGCCGCGGCACACUGCCGGGGGAUAAAUGAUCCUGUUUCACCCCAUUUGUCCGGAGAUAGAGGUGGGCCAUAUGAUGUCAUUAAAUCAUGACAAUUAGAAGGUGUUGAGGAGCCACCAAGGUGAGGAGAUCACAUGGAUUGGCUGACAUUCUUUCUAUCCACGAUACUGUAGAGCUCCAGUGCGUUGAUGCGCUGUCCUUCAGUCAAAGCACCACUGCUGUGGCGCUCCUUCCCACACACUCACAGUCAAGAAGCCGCUCACAUGCGCAACUUCCAGCUGUUUUAAAACCUGAUGCGCCUCUAACUUGACCACACACUUUCACCACAGAACCAUGGAGGGUUCUUUAUUGAUACUCAUGGACUGUCAAAGUUUGCUUGGUGGUUUAAAAGUUGGCAAAAAAACAAAAUGUAAAGAGAGAAAGAAGCAUUGUUUUUAUGAAGCAAGUUCAGGCAAAAAAUGCUAAGGAUUUGUCUGGAAACCUAAAACUACAAUAAAAUCAACUGAUAAAAUCCAAACAAUUAUUUAAAGUAAGUAAAUACAUAAAUCAUAUUUUGUCAUAUUGCCCGCCCCUUUCUGGACACAUUUGAAACAAACAGAUUUUCUGCAAUUUGUUUCUGCAAAUAGCGUGGCAAAAUAACAAGCGAGUGUCAGUAGCUACAGUUUUUCACAAAUGAAUAGGGAUUUUCUAUAGGACUGGGUGAGCCCUGGGAUUUUUUCAAUGAACCAAGUCUGGCGUGGCUAGAAAAAGGUUGGAAAACACUGCUUUAGUCAACUGCAUCAGGUGUCCAAUCUUUAUGACCUGUUCAAAGUGAUGUUUUUUUUUUUUUUUUGGUUAAAUCUUACAACUUCCUGUUGCUGAAUCAAAACCUAGCUCCGCCCCCUGUGGCUUCUGCCCUCAUUGUUGGUCAUGAGUGGGAGCUGAUGCACAGGUGAUGUUCCAGGGUCAUGAACCACUCCUGGACUCUGCUACUUCAACACACGUCCAGAGUGACGCCGCGGCGCCGCAGCUGCGCUCACCUGAAGGAAUCCUCCACAAACGUGCUGCACACUCUCUUCUUGAUGAUCUUGGGGAUCCAGCUCUGCAGGCAGAAACAUGGAGUUAGACCUUGGAAACACCAGACGCUAAAGAGACAGAGCUGAGCCUCUCGGUUUAUGGACUGUGGGAAGAAACUGGAGUUCCCAGUGGAGAUCCCCUCAGCCACGGGGACGUCAUGUGACCUCUGCCUUCCUCUGAGCUACAAACAUCACCGUCACUUCUAUAGCUUCACUUCGAUCACUGACAAGUUUAUGGAAACUUUGAAUGACCCAUGACCCCCAGACCAGCCACAGUCACAUGACUCGGAUGUUUCUCAGCCGCUCUGUGUGAGGAGAACUGUCCGCUGUUGAAGCAGAUGAAUCAAUACGGUUUUGACUCCUAACUGUAUCAUGACCAGCUGGAUUAUUCAGGUUCUAUUUCUCUGAUUUGGUCCCUGAACAGGGAGCAGCUGAAGCAGCAUGGAGGAGAACUUGAUGCCUUGUAUCAGCUCCAUCUUCAGUCCCUCUGGGUGGGCUCCUGCGCUGGAGAAGGAGAAGAUCCUCCUUCCAUAAAGACUAACUCAAAACUGUCUGGAUCUGGAACAAAACAAUGCGUUCCGCUCCCGAGGAGCUGAGGAAACUGGUCAGCAACUGUGAGCAAACGUGCCUGGAACCAUGUGACCAGAGAGUCAAGCAGAAGGCCAGAGGACUUGAGGGGAUUAAAGAUGUGGGGAGAAUGGCAGCUAUGCCAGUUAUGACGGGAAGCCAAGUCCAGACUUGCACUUUUAUUGACUAGAGAGACCUUCAGUUCACAUGAUCUCCCACCUCUGAGGCGCAGAAUUGGAGUGGAUGUUGGAAGAAAGUUGGUGACUGGUCUGUAAACGUCCAUGGUGACCCAGAGAUUUAGGCCUGAGCCCUGACGUCCCACCGCGGCUUCAUUAAAAUUAUAUUUGAGUCACACUUGCAGGUUUCAAUCUUUUGGAACGAUAUACAGUACAAACUUUAGCAAACCCAUUUUUGCUAAGCUUCUCAACCACCAUAGCACGGAGAUACUGCCGACCGAACAGCAGCCACAACAGGCAUCUCUCCCUCCCUGGAAUGUCCUGGCUCAGGAUGAAAGCCGCCGUCAACACACCUGGUUCUGAGUAUGUGUGUGUGUGUGUGUGUGUGUUGAAAACAGGUUUAGAGUCCAACUCGCACCCAAAACACUCACCUGCGUCAGUGACUGAGAGCGCUGCUAAACGUUUGUUGGGUGUUUUACAACCUGCCACUUUCCAGAGAGAAUGGAGGAGCAUUUGAAAUUCUCAAACCAAUCAUUUGUCCCCUUGUUUUGGGAGGAGAACUGUGGGUCUCAGUGACGGGGACAGAGCUUUCCUGCGGCUUCUCUUCACGACCCUCAAGCUCCUUCCUGUCCAGGAGGCAGCGGCAUCAGAUAGCAGCACAUAUCCUGGCUGAACAUGAGCAGCCCCUCACACGAGCGUCUCUCACGCCAACAUGUUGACUUGCUUUCAUGGUGGCUAUUGUCUAGCAGCGUGUAGAAUAGAUUCAUGUUCCCCAUGUGACCCGGGGUGGGGUCGCGACCCAGCAGUCUGAGAGUGAAGUCACUGACCCCGUGGGCGCUCAGCUGCAAGUCGCCCUCAUGUUUCCUAGAGUUUCAAAGUCAAAUGAAGCGAGAAGUGAGGCUGAGGAGCUGCUGCUCUGACCUGUUGAGCUCUGCUGGUCACCACAGUGCACUGGAAGUUCUCACGUACCUGAUCUUUCUCCUUUCUAGUGCCAGCCUUCCCUCCUCCUCCUCCCCCUGUGGCUCGCUCUUGCUCCAGCUCCUUCAUCCUGCUCUGCCGCUUGACUUCUGAUCACAGAGUAGCAGAUCAGCCAAGCAUCCUGCAGCUCCGCCCACCGCCUGCAGCCAAACUUAUCUGCUCCCUCUCACUCGAGUUUUCAGAGCGGCGUAUUGACACUAGGCUUUCACGGGUUUCUGCCGAGCCGCGAGGCUCAGCGUACUGUUGACCCAGGCAUCUGAAUCCAACCGGUUUGAGGAUUCCAUCAUUCCACUGGAAGCAGAAGCAAUUCUAUCAAGCAGCCAGCUCCAGGUGGCACCAUGGCUCCAGCUGCCACAGGUGUUCCCACCUGCUUCCUGAGGUGAGACCCGACUCAGGGGUGGCAAAGGUUUAGAUGGAAAAGGGGGACAUUCAGGUGGGAGUUUCCUUACGAGCUGCUGUGACACCUGAGAACUAUGGGCAUUCAGGCCUCCAGCCUCGGGCUCCUUCACACACACACACACACACACGCACACACACGAGUGUCAGGUUGGGUCUGUGAGCCGGGCGACUGCUGAAUAUUCGGGCGAACCCUGUGAAAUCCACUCUCGACAUGUGGAGCUCUGAGCCAGGAUCGGCUGAGUCACUCCACCACGACAGCUCUGUGUCGCUGUGCUUCAGUCAAACCACUUGAAGGCAAACAGAUGAGUUUUUUUUAUUGACCUGCAGAACAUAUGGUGAAGAGUGCCACCUGUGGGUGAACAGCAGACGGCUCACCGAACAGGACAAAAGGAGAGGCGACAGGUCACAACCCCUGGUGAGACCAGAGGAGCUCAUCCUUGCAUCACAGCUGUUAACAAGUGAACUUUUCAGUGGGCGCCCCCUGGUGGCGCUCGAGCGUGAGAAACGUGCCGCUUCUGGAGCCCAUUUCUCUUCAUUCUUCAUUAAAAGCGUCACUCGCUGACCCAUUCCACAUGCACAUUGCCAUAUUAGUUAGCAGUUAGCCGCGGCUACACAGUCCCUCCAUGUUCCCAGAGGAGCAGUGACUCUCCCCCAAGUGUUUUACCUUCACCUUCAUCUGUCAAAGCCACUAACUCCAGAGUGCUGCCUCCCUCCGACUGAUACACCCCACCAGUGACACCUGAAGGAUCAAGUGGUUCAGGCUGCGGCGCCACACUCUGGACAGCACAUUAGCGCAAUGGACUUCAGCUGUGGAGGAGGCCAGUCAUAGUUGAUGACGUCACACUGAGACAGAGCCUCCGUCAGCCAGGAGAGGGCACUGCAGCAGUACUCCACCUGGGUCAAGAUGGACAUGUUGUGUUGGACCGAUGGUGACGCUCAGCUUGGCCUGAACUAGUGUGAGACUGUGGCAGUUCCAGUCCAGGUUCUUAUCUGCAGACGCCUGCACACCAGUGUUAGCCAAGUGAAUCCAUAAGUCACUGACCUGUGACUCCAGCAGCUGCAGUCUUCGAUCCCGGAUCUCAGUCACCUGCAUCAACACGCUGUCCACCCUGCAGAACCACACACACAGACAGUGUCAGAGAGCAUCACCAUGACUCCAUCUUCAGUGAAACCAUCUAGGACAGUGACCACGGAAGAGUUGAGACGUACUUGACAGCGGUACUCCUGAUGCGGGCUGUGUCGCUCUCCCUCUGCUUCUUAUUCUGAGCCGUCAGCAGGUUUUCCUUCUGGAUGGCCUCCCACGUGUUCAGGCGACUGGCCUGUCUGCCGCGCAGCUCCAGAACUGCUCACCACAUCACACCCUUACUCUUAUUUGUUCAUCACUUCUAUUAUACUUUUUAUUCAUUUAUUUAAUUGUUUCUUUCAUUUAAUGAUUAUUAUUUUAUAUUUUUAUAUGUUUAUUUUAUUAUCAUUAUUGUUUUAAUAAUGAGCCUCACACACAACUGUAACUCUCUUGAGCAGGGGGCAAUUGCACUUGCUCAGGGGCCGUGAAGCCCAAAGAAAGGAGGCAUGAUGGGGAAAAAAAUCAAGUGAAAUGACAUCAUAAAUAAAGGUUUCUUAUUUCAUUUAAAACACAUUCCAUUUAAAGACCCUUGGUGUGUCUCAAUGGAGUCCAGAGAAACCCCCCGGAAAGAGUCAAAUGAAAAAAUAAACAAGGGAGUUAUAUCUCAACUGCACAAACUAAACCUGAGGAGGGCCGCAUGAAUGCAGUGGAAGGGCCACAUUUGGCUCCCGGGCCGCGCUUUUAAUCGCUGUUCGGGAGCUCUUCAGCGCAACAGAACAGUCAAACCAUGUGGAGAAUCAUGUGCUUUCUGCUGGACAGUUCAGGACAAGCCAAGCCUUGGUGGGUGGAUCAAAACACAACUGGACUCGGAAGAGAGCGGCACUUGGAUGGGAAUCGCUGCAGCUCAGUGGAGCACAGGAAGAGAGAGAGACUCACCAAAGUGUGUGUUUUUGGCUGACGGGAUGAGACGGAUGUGUCGCUUGACCAUGAGGUGCAGGUGUGAGAUGAUGAUGAAGGGCGGAGGAAGCAGCGGCCGCGAGUGGUACUCCACAAUCAAAUUGUAGCGCUGGAACUUCCAGUAGGUGUCGCUGCGCUCCUGCACCUUGGAGAAGGUGUGGCUGCAGAUCAGAUCAGGGAUUAGACAGAGACAAAUGCCAAGCAUGUUCAGCUGGAGGAAGCCAGUACCUGAACAUGGCGAUGAGCAGGUUGACCAGGAGGAUGUUGGUGAUCAGCAGGUAGAUGACAAGCAGGAUGACUGACAGCCAGUUAGCGUAGUUGCUCAAACAAGGCUCGUGUCCCGCUUCGAUCAGCGUCACGUUGUCCGUGCAUGGAACCUCCAGCAGCUUAUCAACUGAGAAAGAGACCAGAAACAUGUUGGAAAACUUCUGCUCAAUUCAGCUGACGUUGGAGUUUAAAUUUGAUACUGCAGGAUCCCAAAAAAACCCAGCCCAAUGGGUACCAUCAGACCCAGAGAAUCUGAUUCUAAUAUCCACAGCUGAGAGGCCUGCGACACUGGUGAAACGCUGAGUGACUCACGGUCCAUUUCAUUGAUGGGGAUCUGUCCAAAGAUGUGCAGGUAGGGUCGGUAGAAGACCCGGCGGAAGAUCCAGUUGGGCCGCGGGUCAUAGUCGUAGAGAAUGGCCUGGUUGGCCACUCCGUACGCCAUGAGCCACACAGCCAGGAAGAAGAGGAAGAAGAAGACAUCCUUCAUCUGUGAAGAGCAGACAUCAAAGAGUCAACAUUGUAAAGAAGGUUAUUCCUUCUCAGUUUUAACUGCAGCUUCUAUUAACGUGUUUUUUUCCUUCUAGUUCUCUAGGCAGAUGUGUCCUUGAGCAACCGACUGAACUGUGUUUGUGCAAGUGAGUUUACUCCUCUGGAUUUCCACAGCUCAGAGAGUUCAGUCCUUGUUGACACUACCUCAGUGUGUGACUGGGUUUGAUGUUCAAAUCCCACUGUUUCCAGAAGCACAGAACAAACCCCUGCAUUUUCCCCACCAUUUUUCCCACGAUGAUGAUCUUGGGCCCAAGCUGUUUGUGGAUGGCGAAGAUGUGGAUCAGCCUCAGUGUGAAGACCAUGUAGUCUAUCGCCAUCACUGCGCGUCCAAACUCAAAGGACCAGUGGAACAUCCUGGAAGACUCAGCUGUUAGUGAACCUUUGAACACAGCAGCCAGCACAGACGUGAGAGACAGAGUCACCUGCAGCACAGAGCCAAGCAAAAGAGGCCAAUGGCAGCCAGAUCACACUUGUUCCAUGCGUCCUGGAUGUAGUUCCUCAUCUUCUGGAUCACAAAACUGCUCCCCGCAACAACAGUCUGGCAGGAAGCAAAGCAGAGUCCCAAUUUGAGCCCAAAUGUUCAUUUAAAACCUAUCUGUCUGCAGUGAACCAGCCUCCCUGUGCCCAGCAGCAGAGAUAUGCCUCUGCUGCUGCUUAGUUUGCUUACAGAAUAUUUUAACUGUGCUUAGAUUCGUUUUUGCACAUUUGGGCAUAAAUGUCUUAGAACCUAUUCAUGCUAAGGCCUCAAUUUAGGCUUCGGUCUGUGAGACUCAAAGGAUGUUUCUGACUACAUUUUUCGCUGCCAGUUAUUGUUCCUAUUAUUGAUUUAACAAAUUGAAAAAGCACAUGGGAACCUACCUGGCGGAUCUCUUCACAAGCAAAUGUGAAAACCCAGAAGUAAAGCACCAGUUCCCGAGCAGAUGGACCUAGAGGGGGUGGCGGCUUGAAGUCCAAUAAGAGGACGUAGGCAAACAGGAAGAGGAAGAGGAAGUACAUAAUCAUGUUGCCCAGGAAGGAAGUGACUGGAGCGAACCAGAACUGUCUCCAUCGUGACACCACGAAUGGCCUCUUGGAGUUGGACUGAGUUGCCACUGCAGAGGAAACAUGGCCAAGUCAGAACAAGUCAGAAGCAUGCGGAAGAAUAGAACCACCAACCUUUCAUGUAUUCUUUCAUGGCCUUCAGCUCUUCUGCAUCCUCCUCACUGCAAAUACAAAAACAUUCAAGAAAGAAAAAGAGCCAUCACUCUUGAAUUGCGACUUACUUUUGGACAUCCGCCAGAGAGAAGACACUCUCUCUGCUGUGGUAGGUUUCUUGCGGCUUCUCCUCUUCAUCAUCUUCUCUGUAACACAUGAAGUUCAAUGAACAACAACAGGACUUCAUAGCAGGAGGGAACGCAGGACGAGAGCUUCACACCGACCUGAAGUAGAUCAGCUUUGAGUAGAUGAGUGGCGGCAUGAAGAAGCUGACCACCAGCUUCCAGACGUCUGUGCUUCGCUCCAUGUCGCCCCACCAAAUUUGGGACAACAGCGACUGCAACAGAACAACACUACCUGUAAGACGACUCAAAAUAACUGCCAUAUAAGUUCAAACCUUUUAUUACAGUAACUCACUUCCACACACUGUUUUCAUCUUCGGGCUGACAUUUUGGGUGCAUGGAUGUUAACAGGAGAAUCAUUCCAUGGACAGAGAAAGACCUCCCUGUUGUGGUUUUCUAACCCAAUAUUAUCCUGAUCGAUACCUUUUUCGCAGGUGACAGUAUAGGUAUGUAGCGAAACCUCCUCAUAACUCAGCAGCUCACGCUUGUAGAUUGUAGAACCGUUGAUCGAAUGCACACUGACGUCUGUUUACGUGGCUGUACACUGUCAUUCCAUCCCACAGUGAACUGCUUCACCUGGACUCCACUAUGGCUGAAGAAGAGUCGAGCGUCAGCCGUAGUGGCCAUCUGCAGGCACGUAGCUCCACGCCACACCCGAGACUUCCUGAUCAGGAGCGUGAAGGAGCGACGCUCGCUGCUUUGGUAACACUCGCCAAACACAUCUGCACAGAGAUAGAUGCAGGUUUGGAGCUGCUCCCAGUUGUCACAGCUUGCACUUUUGACAUCAGCAACCGUUAGUUUUCAGCAACAGACCAUGGGGAUUUUUAUUGUUCUAGAGUGCAGCCUUCCAGGCUCAAUUUGAAAUCCUCACUCUUGGGUUGGCUUCUGAGCUGGUUUUCAUCCCACCUCUUAAAAAGACUCCCUUCUGUAGUGUACUGCAGGGUUCAGUUUUAGGUCCAAUGUCAUUUUGCAUUGAUGAUGCCCUAACGUUCAGAUCUGUGAUGGUUGUAGAUGUGAUUUAUUCACUACUCACCAUUGGCUAGAUCUUCAAACUGCUGGGCCAGUUCCUUCAUGGCCAACUUGUUCUCCGUGUCACUCUCCAUCUUGGAAAGCUCCCUCAGGAUCUUGCAGCCACCAAGAGCACUCAGAACCGCUUCCCCAGCCUGACAGAGAGAGACAUGAGGUUUACAGCUUUGCCAAAGAAUACACCUAUUGAAUGGACUCACCAUCUCCCAGAAGUAAACAGCCAUUUCUCUGCGGUUCUGCAGGACGGCCCAGAUGAAGAGAGCUGACCAGGGUGAGAGGCAGCGCUGGCUGCGGUACAAACACUCGCCAAGCAACAUCUUGUUGAUUUGCUGGGCCAAUAAAAAGAAGCGGUGAGACAUGAAGGAAAUAUUUUCGUUUUGUUUGAAUGAAAGGUCAGGAAGGUUGGUGAAGACAGUAGAAAUGAAUGACACAUGUCGAACAGCGUACAAACUUGGUGACAAAGGGAUUUUCCAUCCACCCAACUGACCUUCAUUGCCUUCCGUGUGCUGAGUUUGAUGCUGAGACCGAGAGGCUCGUAGUAGAACGGCUCACAGACGUCGCCCAUCAAGUCCCACAGCAGCCUGGAAACCUGCAUCACCAAUGACACGUUGGACUCUCCAUGGACGUUGAAGGAUUCCCUUCAUCUGAUUCACCUCAUAAAGGCUGAGCUCCUUAGCAGAUGCUGGUCCCGUCAGUGGGUCCAACAGACUUAUCAUCGGGGACCCUCCAUCCAGGUUGACCAAGGAUCCAGCCGAUGUCAGCCUCUCAUUGAGGCGCCUCUGCAGCAGCUCGUAAGCUAGAGAGCUGUCAGACAGUGACUGGUAGAGACUCUCCAGCCGGCCGUAGGUCAGAUAGUCCAGGAUGUUCAGACCGUUCUCACAGAACAAGCGCACAAACUGAGGCUUGUCGUUGAUCAAGGCGUCGGUCAUGGAUUCCUCCAGGUCCUCAUACUGAGGAUGGGAAACAUCAGUUUCAGAUGAAGUGAUUCACGUCCUGACUUGAGCUACUCUUCAGUCUCACCCUCCACUGAAUGUCUCCAUUGAAGAGCUCCGAUUUGGCAAUGACAUCUCUGUUCCAGGCCACAGCCAGUUUCAGCUCCUCGAUGUGCUCGCUUGCCUCGCUGGCGAUCUGUUUCCUUGCUAAACACAGACGUAGUACAAUGAUACGUUUCUACGGGGCUUAGCAGUUGACAUUUAAGGUGCUGACCUCUGACAAGAGCUUUCAGGAGAACUGUAUCAAAGUCAUCAUGACCUUCUUGGUCCCCAUUGAACACAGUGAUGAACUCUCGGUUCUGAUAAAUACUCAGGGCCUGCGCACACAGAAGGACAGACAUGUGAUACGACUGUAAAAAGGCGGUGCUGGAGGAGAGGAAACCCACACCAACUCACACUGUCCACCAAUUUCUCCAGCUCUUCUUCAACUGGAAAGUAUUUCCAGACCUUCUCCCGCACCCAGUCCCUGAGCUCCGAGCUGAGACCCUCAGUGGUGCAGCCCUCUGCUGAUGAACAUGUAGGGCUGAGGGCGAUACACGGGACAGCUUCCACCAGCUCACUGACCAGGUCUGCGGCAAGACCAGUCCCAGCCAGGACCAGCCAGGGCUUAGACUUCCUCAGAGACAUCUCUAAUCGCUGAGGGUGUGGACACAGUCAACAAAGAAGUGAUAAGACUCCAGCGGCAGUAGAGACCAGUUGCAUCAUGCUGCUCUCAGCGCCAUCACCUCCAGCAUGCUGCCGUCUCCUGAGAUCAGCAUGCACAGGACAGGGAUCUCAAUGCUGCCGCUCCCUGUUGGACCAAGACAGAGACUGGGUCAAACCCGGGUUCUUUUGUUCCUCACAUGGCCAGGUUAGCUCAGCUGAGAUUCAAACUUCCUGCGAAGCAUGGAUGAAGGUGGGUUUCGCUGCUGGCUCUCACCCCAAAUGCCCGUGCGCUGGUGAGAAAUGUACUCCUCCAGACUGGCUCGGAACGCAGUCUCUCCCCCCCGACGGCCCACGCUCCCGUCGUCCACCAGAAGGAAGGCCUGGCAGUUGUUGUCCAGACAGUAGGAGUCUCGAGAAGUGUUCUGGACGUAGUAGCGAGCGGGAAAGCUUCCCUUUAUGACAGGAGAAGAAAAAAAACAGUCUCCCAAUUCUGUCAUUUGGAUAUUCAUUUGAAUCAUUUUAAAAAGGUUUGGCAGAGACAAAUGGUUUGGUGCGUCCCGGAGAGUUGCAUUCCAUCUUGACUGCUGUCACCAGCUCUAAGUGGAAAGUUGAAUUCUGACUAAAGCACUCGCUCAGUUUAAACAUGAGUUGCAGGGUCAGUCGACUGCAGCAGGCAGGUGUUUAUUUCUUUGAGACAAAAAUUAGUCACUGACAUUUAACAUUUCCAAAGAAAUACUGAGUGAAAAAUUGAAAUUUGAGGAAAAUUGAGGAAUCUGCUUUUCCAGGUUUUAUUAUGUUUCUCUGUUGUUGAUGAAUUAGUCCAUAAACAGGAUUUAAAAGUUCAGACUGAUGUGUUUCUGACAGAUCCGAUGCUCACCUGAGCGUUGACUAGCUGCUGCCUGUUGUGCACCAGGCCCCAGGGGGCCACCCCCACUGCCAUGACCUUCUUCUGAGACAGAGCUGAAGCUGCAGCACCAUGGUCUCUGACUGCCUCACCAACACAUCGAGACACGCCCUCUCUCAGACCCCCAGUCAGGAUCCAGGCUCCUGGGCAGAGGGGUAGGACAGGGGUGUGAGAACGAGAACACAGUCAUUUCAAUUUCAAACAACUGCCUACUGAUUUUUUUUCUGUGCAUUUAUGCAUAUACAAUUCUCUCAUAUUUAUUUUCUGUUGAUUUUUGUCUUCUCUUUAUGUUCACUUAUUGAUGUAUUUUAUCCUUCAAUGAGAAAAUUGACAUAUUUUCGCUACUUAAGGUCACCUCUAGUUAGAGCCAAACUAGUGAAGCAAGAACGUUUGGAUUUAUAUGAUAAAAUUAAUAUGUUUAAUAACAUGUGGGACAAACAACUAAGAGCAGCAGUACUGUCUCUGAUGUCAUCACUGUGAGGUCAUUCACACGGGCUCUUACCAGUGCUCUGCGCCGCCCGGACCAGUCCGUUCCUCAGCACUUCCCUCACCCAUGUCUUCAUCUUCGCUCGACCCUCCCCCCCCACCACUGACACCACCAGGUUGGGCGCAGGGAGGCCCCAGUGAUCCGUCAUGAGGGUGUAGAUGACCGGAGCUGAGGUGUCACAUGACAGGCGGAGGAACUGGACAGCACAAACACCUCCCCGAAAGCGUCGGUGGGGAUCUCUGAGGAGUGAUGCCUGCUCUCCCACUGAGUGACGAUGGCUGCGCCGAAGAAGUCGCCCGUGGCCACGGAGGUGUGGGCGUCCCGCACACCCCCACACUGGCACAGCGCCCCAUUGCUGCCACACAA